AGGAGGAGCAGCCCCAGUGGCGGGGCCAGCUCUGGAGCCCUGGAUUCAGCUCCGGCAGGAACUCUGAACUCUGCAGGGCCUGGAGGCUCCGGGGUGGG
rnacentral:pre_miRNA from 1 species